rnacentral:lncRNA from 1 species
ACCUUCCAAUUGGUAUAGUCCUCCAGUCUUCUUUCCUUGCCGCAACUCCUUCUUUCCCUUAGAAACUCUCAGAUUUUGUCCACUAGUUUCAAAACUACAUCCCUUUGAAUCUAGCAUCCCAAUGGAAAUUAAAUUUUUUCGUAGAUUAUGAACAUGCCUUACCUCGGUCAAUGUCAGAGACCUCCCGUUUGCCAUGCGAAACCAAACUGAUCCUUUACCAAAAACAUUAUUCAUUAUCUUGUUCGCCAUCCAUACAAGUCCAUCAUUGCAUGGUGCAUAUGUAGAGAACAUUUCUCUAUAUCUGCACAAGUGGUAAGCGCUUCUUGAAUCCAAUAUCCAAUCUAACUUUCCAUCCGCCGAUAAUGCUAGGAGAAUAUCGCUCUGAAUCCUCCAGUCAUCACUGUUGCUAAUGUUGUCUCUGAAGACUGAUUCUGUUCUUUAUAUCUUGGACAACUCCUCUUGAUAUGUCCCUCCUAGUCGCAAUAAAAGCACAUAAAAGUGCGACUUCUUAAUUGUGACCUCGGUCAUCCUCUACCGAUGCCCCUUUGAUGACCUCUUCCCUGACCUCGACCUCUUUCCCUGCUUCCUUCUGAGACUAGGGCUUGCGACUCAUCACUAUUCGUUGUACCUAUCUCUCUCUUCCUUGCCUCUUUAUUGAAUAAGGCAUCUUUGACCGUACUCAUGGUUAACUUUCCAUUCGACGUUGAAUUGCUGAGAGAAAUCACAAAUGUCUCCUAACUUUUUGGCAAGGAAUUCAAAAUCAAUAGGGCCUGCGUCUCAUCCUCGUAUUGUAGGUCAACACUAGUCAACUAAUUGAUCAAAUUCUGGAGCUCACUCAUAUGUUCCGCCACUAAAGUACCACUAUGUAACUUCAGAUUCACUAGCCUCCUCAUCAAGAGCGCUUUGUUCCGUGACGUCUUAGCCUGGUUCAUCGUCUCCAACUUGGUCCAUAACUUAUAAGCACUCGUAUCCUGUGCCAUAUGAUGGAACGUCUCGUGCCCAAUCCAUUGUCUGCUUUGCCCUAAUUAUUUUUUGGUUCAAGCUUCUUUCAUUCCCAUCAUUCAUCUCUUAGUUUAUUCUCUUAUCUCCAUGUCAUACAAAUCCUUAUAGAAUAGAUAUCUUCAUUCAUAUUGAGGGCGUAAUACAUACUUCAUGGCUGAAAGCAAGGAUUAGAUCCCCUAAUUGUUCUUGUGUGGGCCAUCUUAAUUCAACUCCAAUAGAUGCAAAAAAAUCCUUCCUAAAAUUAACCCCAGGGAAUGGAUUGGAUGCUAACAAAUUUUAGAAAGUGCUAAACUGUCAAAAUUAAAAUUUUUUGGUACCAAAUAUCAAAAAUCCAAACUACCGAGACCAACUAUAAUUUUACUAAACUAGAGACCAACUAAUUUUCAACUCAGGAACUAAAUUAUAAUUUUUGGAAACUACACGGACAAAAAUAUAAUUUUUUGAAACUUUAGGGACUAAAAGUGCAAUUAUCCAACCUUAGGAAUAUUCCCAGAAUAUUCCCUCUCAGCUCAGCUCGAUCAACGUCUUGCGGCUUGGUCAACGGCUCGCGUUGGGUCAAAGCUCAAUCAAUCUGCGUGGCUUGGUUGCGCUUGUUGGUGCGUGUGGUGCGUGAGAAUGAUGGCUCACCAAACUUCAGACGGCGUGUGGGGACUGGUUUGAUGUCCGAUCGACUUAGACUUUAUACCGACGGACUCGUCUCGAAGAGGGGAAUCCUGUGGUAUGCUCAAAAUUCAAUUCCGAGCAACUUUGGAUAUAGACUAUGGGGGGGGGGAAAAUCUGCUCCGUUCUUGGCAGAAAUUACUCCGGUGACUCGACCUCGCUCUGGUACCACUGUUGUGUAAAAAUGGACUCAACAUAAGAUAGGGGUCAUCAAAACACCAAACCGUCCGAUGGAAAGACGGUUUUCAAUGCUACAUAGCCAGCUAAAAAGUCUCCAUGGGCUUUUACUUUUGCUGUAAUAACAUUGUGAAGGUGAAUUUUGGUAAAUUCAUACGUCCUCCGUGUUUACUUCGCUUCCUAGUAUUAUCAUCAUCAUUGUCCAAUGUUCGCUGGCCUCAUUGUUGUAUUGAAAUAUUCAUACGGGGAACAUAAAAUAUGGCAAUUGAAGAUCUGCGAAUGAAACCAUUCCAAAAUUGCAAAAUGUACGCACACCCCCCCCCCCAAAAUACUAGCUUAAGGCGGACUACACCAGGCAUUAGGCAACAUUUCACUUCGUGUGCCAAACAAGAGCUACACCGUAAAUCUGAAAUCAAGUACCAAUGACUUGUGGUGGGAAGUGAAGAGGCUGAAUCUGACUUUUUAUAUUUGGAAAGUAGAAGAAACUCUAUGCACCCAUUUUGUCCCCAGCCACAGCAUGUACAUUUAUGUUACAAACGCAAGGAUGGAUGAUACGGUAAAGAUGCAUAACAGAUUCGUUGUCACAUUUGAAGAAUUAAAAUUGAAAAAUAAGUAGAACAAUAAUUCCCAAGCAUCGAACAAAAGAGACAUAAUUUUCGAAGAAACAGAGAAGCUUGUUUUCAAUGAAACGUUGCCUAACCCAACAAACAGAUUCAGCUUCAGAUUGGGGACAGAGGACCUAAGUGUUAUAUAGCUCUUUCCAUAUCACAUACUUAUGCCAAAGGCUUUAAGUGGCCGAAUUGAAUGUUGAAACCACACAUAAAUCAGUAUAUUUAACAUAAUACCCAAUACUUUAAUCUGCUUUCGACUAUGACAGCUCAAAUUAAAUGCAAAGAGUAUUCAACAGGUUGAAAAGCCCACAUGAAUGAUACAGAAUAUAUUGCACUAAUUGUGAAUCUGCAAACGGUGCAAUUAAAUUAGAUAGCAGAAAUAGAAAUCAUCCGGGAAUAGGAAUCUCGUUAAGUCAUCCUCAUAAGGUUUGCAAAGAAAUAAAGGAACAUAAAUAACUGAAAAUUUCCACUUUUGUCUGGGCUAGCACGCACCAACAUGUCCGCACACUUGCUUUCUCUCUGUAGACAUGUUUAAUUGUAUCUAUUCGCAAUCUUGAAUUAGGUUGUUAAGCUGGAUAAUUGCCCGUGCGUCCGCCUCCACUUCAAUGGGGAUCAAAAGCAUAGAGUCAUAGACCAUGCCAUGAUCCAUGAUGAGACCCUCUCUGAGGGCUGUAAGCUCAGUUUCCAUACUACUGACUUGGCCAAUUGUUCGAUGAAAUCCUGUGACACAAGUUCCAUUGUGAACGCGGAUAAUGCUACCACCGGACUCUAUUGGGGGUUUGACUUUACUGUACCAUCCGUGUUAAGUUUAAAAAAGUUAAGUUAGGGGGGAAUUUCCAUGAUUUUUGUUAUGCGCAGAACCAAAACAAAAACCACACACUCAUACAAAGAGACACAUAUAUUUAUGUGAUUCGACAAUUUGCUUACAUCCUCGGAUUGUAGCAAUUUCAGUAUUAGAGAAAGAAAAAUAUAGAUUUACGGUUUCUCUCUAUCUCAAGCUCUCUGAUCUCUCUCUUUUCUCUCACUCUUCCCUUGGUGGUCUGGUGGUGGCAAAGCAACCGCCACCUCCCUCAUACUCUCUCUACCUUUGAUCUACAUCUUUUUUUUCCCCACACAUUAUACACAACCAUUGAAGCUGUAUAUAUAGGCCUAGAACUACACACUUUUUGAGAAAAAUAACUCAGAAAGUUAAAGCCAUCAUUGGGAGUCCAACAAUUUUUGGGUACCUAACGGUUCUCUUUCACUUCACUUGUCCAUUCUUAUCAAAUCCUGCUAAACCAUGUCAUUCCCUAGCAUAAUCUUCCCAAAU